AUAAAGAGCACGCGAUCAGUCCGAGGAUUAAUAUCCAGUUAGAUCGCCUCUUUUUCAUCUAGCCUACCACAGUGGUCAUUUCUACAGCAGGACACAUUUCAAAAAGUUUUGCUUUUGCGUCUUCUUUCUACGUUUGUGAAAAAAGACAGAUGUUUAUGGUUGACUGAUUGUAAUAUCACGGAGGAAGGUUGUGCUGCUCUGUCUUCAGCUCUGAGAUCAAACCCAUCACACCUGAGAGAUCUGAGUCUGUCUUUGAAUAAUUUCGGAGAUUUAGGAGUGAAGCUGCUAUCUGAUGUACUGAAGAAUCCUCAAUGUAAACUGGAGCUACUGUGGUUGUGUGAGUGUAAUAUCACAGAUGAAGGUUGUGUUGCUCUGACUUCAGCUCUGAGAUCAAAACGAUCACACCUGAGAGAAUUGUAUCCGACUGGAAAUCAUCUGUGAGCUUUAGAAAUGAAGCUGAUCUCUGAUAUGGCAAAGGAUCCAAAUUACAAACUGAACAAAAU